CUAUCUAUCUAUCUAUCUGCAGUAAAGAGUUACAGGAACUUUUAAUUAUAAUUAAUGUAAAUGUUUAAAAUUCCAUCUAGGGGUGGGCAAUAUCAUGUCAUUCAUAAUAUUACCAGUUAUUAUUUCCUGCCAAGACAAAAAAUCUAUCAUGUUAAGCUAACUUCAUGAUGUAAUUGCAUCCACUAAACUGAAGAUUAUGUUCAUGUGGGUCAUCAGCAUGAAGUUAUUGAAGUUAUCAAAGCAAACAUGGCUGGAAUCAGUUUUACUGUCAUCUGUGUCUCUAAGUGUGUGUGCUGCUGUAAUGAGUGGAUGCCCCCACUGUGGGACUAAUAACAUUUGCUCAAUUCUAAUCUAUUAACUCAUAUCAGCCAGUAGGAAAGAAAACGUUAGAGUAAUUUUGGCCUUAAGGCUUCCGUACCAGUAACCUGGUUAUGGAGGAGGGGUUCGUCUCACAAACAGGAAAAACACUGGUGAAGUGGUGAAUUAAAACAUCAGGAUUCCAAAUGUUUCAAUUCCCCGCGUCACCAACUAAUGUAGGAGAGAGAACGUGUGAGUGAGUCACCACGGUAGAAAGCCCAGCUUGCUGUGAGCGAGAGUAGCGAGCGAUCUGUGCCUGAUGAGUGAAAACAAAAGAAAAACAUUCAGGACUGAAACUCCGUCAACACCGGCUGGCGAGGUGGCUGCAUUUCUAAAUAAAGCAUGUCGUUAUGGUGGUGCGCGCAGCCGCAGCUCACGGUUCUGGGAGAAAGAACCAGGCAUGCCCAUCCCAUCAACAGCAGGUGGAGCUCACCACUCCACCCAUCUCACAACCAGAGCGGAGAAAAAGCACAUCGGCUUGGAUUAUACAGAUGGGAUUUUGUGUGUGAAAUAACGCCAGUUAAAGUAUUACUGAAGUGUUGUUUGUGUGCAUGUUGUUCAGUAGCUAAUGCUAUAAUUAAUAUCAUGUUUUUUCAUAAACCCUACACACUGUGCGUGAUGUGCGUUUGGGGAGCGCAGGCACUGGUUUAGCGUGAGAUAUUGGAGGUGUGGCGUGAGAGCGUGUGAAGAGGGUCAAAUGCAUGUGUCUCACGCUCAGUAAGUGAGAGUUGGCAGCUCUGCUAUAAGUUUGACCCCAACAUACAGGAUGCUACACUAAGUAGUAAAUGGACUUAAAACAGUCAGGCACUGUUUCAUUUACUGUUACAUAUAAGGUGAUAUUCUAACAUUUAUGUAUUUACUGUAGAACUAAGAGAACAAAGUGACCACUUGAUAAAGUUCAGAGCAAAAGUUACAACAUGCAAAAUGCAUAUGCAGCCUUCUCAGUUUUCUGGUAUAUAUUUGAUGACAUAUUUCUUGAUAAGUUGAUGUUACAUUGAAGAAAAACAAAAACUAUCUUAAAACUAAAAUCAUUUUGAUAUGUUAUUGCACAGAUACGCUGUACUGUUGAAUCCCAGCAGUAUGGGGUUUUUGGUUUGUUUGUUUGUUUGCUCUAUUUUUUUCCUAGCAGGUAUUCAUUUCUCCCUGCGGUUGAGUUCCUGCCACCACCCCCAGUUUUGGCAGCUGAACGUCAUCAGCUUAUGCAAAAGUGGAAAUGCUGUGUGAUUCCUGUGUCCUGUGGUCCAUGACCUGUGUUAGCCCGGUUCUGGAUGUGGCCUUGCUGAGUUGUCUGUAGCAAGGUGCUCGGCUGUCUGGGAGGUGGUCUGAGUUGGUUCCGUGCUCUGUGGUGGCUGCUGGUUUCCUGGUGCUUGGGGCGGUUCCAGUCUGGAACUUCCAGAGUGCACCUGAUCCUUGGAGUCUCACACUUCACAUCCCAGCACACGCACGAACACGUUUGUUGAUGUUUGUUGUUCAUUGUUUACAUGUUUAUAGUUGUUCAUCCCACGUUUUCUUGAUGAUUCUUAGAAAUGUUUCUUCACAGGUGCAUUAGCUGGUUGCUGUUUUUUAUGUUGGUUUCCUAGUUGUUUUUGUUUUCCUCUCUUAUUUACUUGUUUGUCCUCUAUCAACCCUCUUUAUUCCCGAUUGGUUCAGCAUUUACAUGCUAAUGUGGCAAUACAUGACCCAAAGCAAUAUUACAAUAACAUAAAUUUUUAUUCAAGGGGAACCUCGUACACAAAAGGCUCCUCUUGAUAGAGCAAAUCUGUUCAGCACAUUCUGACAGACAGAUGACCAUUCUUCUGGCAUGUUGCUGUACAGGAUAUGUGUAGAGAUUUUCUUUUUAAAGAUAAAUAGUAUUACAUUUAAAGAGCAAUACUUUCACAUUAUCAUUUUCCCACACUUUCUGUAUACCUGUAUUUAGUUGUUUUUCAAUAAAGAAUGACAAAUUA